rnacentral:snRNA from 1 species
GCACUUGUCUGGCUAGAGGAGGCACCAUGAUCACGAAGAUGGUUUUCCCAGGGCGAGGCUUCUCCAUUGCACUCCAGAUGUGCUGACCCCUGUGAUUUCCCCAAAUGUUGGAAGUUCAAUUGCAUAAUUUGUAGUAGUGAGGAGCUGCGUUCGCACUCUCUCC